rnacentral:rRNA from 1 species
AGGGUUUGAUUCUGGCUCAGGAUGAACGCUGGCGGCGUGCCUAACACAUGCAAGGCGAACGGAGUUAUUUUGGAAAUCUCUUCGGAGAUGGAAUUCUUAACUUAGUGGCGGACGGGUGAGUAACCCGUGAGCAAUCUGCCUCGGAGUGGAGGAUAACAGUCGGAAACGACUGCUAAUACCGCAUAAUGCAUCGGAACCGCAUGAUUUUGAUGCCAAAGGCUUGUCUGCUCUGAGAUGAGCUCGCGUCUGAUUAGCUAGUUGGCGGGGUAGCGGCCCACCAAGGCGACGAUCAGUAGCCGGACUGAGAGGUUGAACGGCCACAUUGGGACUGAGACACGGCCCAG